rnacentral:rRNA from 1 species
UACGUAGGGACCAAGCGUUGUUCGGAUUUACUGGGCGUAAAGGGCGCGUAGGCGGUCUUGUAAGUCUUGUGUGAAAUCCCUCGGCUUAACUGAGGAACUGCACGGGAUACUGCGAGACUUGAGAUCGGGAGAGGGAAGCGGAAUUCCGGGUGUAGCGGUGAAAUGCGUAGAUAUCUGGAGGAAUACCGGUGGCGAAGGCGGCAUCCUGGACCAUUACUGACGCUGAGGCGCGAAAGCUAGGGGAGCAAACGGG